rnacentral:rRNA from 1 species
UGACGAGCGGCGGACGGGUGAGUAAUGUCUGGGAAACUGCCUGAUGGAGGGGGAUAACUACUGGAAACGGUAGCUAAUACCGCAUAACGUCGCAAGACCAAAGUGGGGGACCUUCGGGCCUCAUGCCAUCAGAUGUGCCCAGAUGGGAUUAGCUAGUAGGUGGGGUAACGGCUCACCUAGGCGACGAUCCCUAGCUGGUCUGAGAGGAUGACCAGCCACACUGGAACUGAGACACGGUCCAGACUCCUACGGGAGGCAGCAGUGGGGAAUAUUGCACAAUGGGCGCAAGCCUGAUGCAGCCAUGCCGCGUGUGUGAAGAAGGCCUUCGGGUUGUAAAGCACUUUCAGCGGGGAGGAAGGCGAUAAGGUUAAUAACCUUGUCGAUUGACGUUACCCGCAGAAGAAGCACCGGCUAACUCCGUGCCAGCAGCCGCGGUAAUACGGAGGGUGCAAGCGUUAAUCGGAAUUACUGGGCGUAAAGCGCACGCAGGCGGUCUGUCAAGUCGGAUGUGAAAUCCCCGGGCUCAACCUGGGAACUGCAUUCGAAACUGGCAGGCUAGAGUCUUGUAGAGGGGGGUAGAAUUCCAGGUGUAGCGGUGAAAUGCGUAGAGAUCUGGAGGAAUACCGGUGGCGAAGGCGGCCCCCUGGACAAAGACUGACGCUCAGGUGCGAAAGCGUGGGGAGCAAACAGGAUUAGAUACCCUGGUAGUCCACGCCGUAAACGAUGUCGAUUUGGAGGUUGUGCCCUUGAGGCGUGGCUUCCGGAGCUAACGCGUUAAAUCGACCGCCUGGGGAGUACGGCCGCAAGGUUAAAACUCAAAUGAAUUGACGGGGGCCCGCACAAGCGGUGGAGCAUGUGGUUUAAUUCGAUGCAACGCGAAGAACCUUACCUGGUCUUGACAUCCACAGAACUUAGCAGAGAUGGUUUGGUGCCUUCGGGAACUGUGAGACAGGUGCUGCAUGGCUGUCGUCAGCUCGUGUUGUGAAAUGUUGGGUUAAGUCCCG